CCUACGGGAGGCAGCAGUGAGGAAUAUAGGUCAAUGGACGAGAGUCUGAACCAGCCAAGUAGCGUGAAGGAUGACUGCCCUAUGGGUUGUAAACUUCUUUUAUAAAGGAAUAAAACGAGGCACGUGUGCCUUUUUGCAUGUACUUUAUGAAUAAGGAUCGGCUAACUCCGUACCAGCAGCCGCGGUAAUACGGAGGAUACGAGCGUUGUCCGGAUUUAUUGGGUUUAAAGGGAGCGUAGAUGGGUUGUUAAGUCAGUUGUGAAAGUUUGCGGCUUAACCGUAAAAUUGCAAUUGAGACUGGCAUUCUUGAGUACAGUUGAGGUAGGCGGAAUUCGUGGUGUAGCGGUGAAAUGCUUAGAUAUCACGAAGAACCCCGAUUGCGAAGGCAGCUUACUAAACUGUGACUGACAUUGAUGCUCGAAAGUGUGGGUAUCAAACAGGAUUAGAUACCCUGGUAGUC
rnacentral:rRNA from 1 species